UGUAAGCGUAUACCAAAGUUGUUGCAGUUAAAACGCUCGUAGUCGGAAUUUGGCAGUUCCGGAAGUGUGCACGUCGUGUGCGCACUUUGCGGGGACUGCUUUUGUGGUCUUGCGUAGGAUGAGGCACUUUCAUUAGUGAACGUCCUCACGCAACCACUCUUUACUGUGAGAAAAUCAGAGUGCUCGAAGCAGGCAUUUGCCGUGAAUGUAUUAGCAUGGAAUAAUAGAAUAGGACUUGGUUCUAUUUUGUUGGUUUGUUGGGACUGAGUAAUGAUUAAGAGGGACAGUUGGGGGCAUUUGUAUUUCGGUGCUAGAGGUGAAAUUCUUAGAUUACCGAAAGACAAACUGCUGCGAAAGCGUCUGCCAAGGAUGUUUUCAUUGA
rnacentral:rRNA from 1 species